UGGGGAAUUUUGGACAAUGGGGGAAACCCUGAUCCAGCCAUCCCGCGUGUGCGAUGAAGGCCUUCGGGUUGUAAAGCACUUUUGGCAGGAAAGAAACGUCAUGGGUUAAUACCCCGUGAAACUGACGGUACCUGCAGAAUAAGCACCGGCUAACUACGUGCCAGCAGCCGCGGUAAUACGUAGGGUGCAAGCGUUAAUCGGAAUUACUGGGCGUAAAGCGUGCGCAGGCGGUUCGGAAAGAAAGAUGUGAAAUCCCAGAGCUCAACUUUGGAACUGCAUUUUAAACUGCCGGGCUAGAGUGUGUCAGAGGGAGGUGAAAUUCCGCGUGUAGCAGUGAAAUGCGUAGAUAUGCGGAGGAACACCGAUGGCGAAGGCAGCCUCCUGGGAUAACACUGACGCUCAUGCACGAAAGCGUGGGGAGCAAACAGG
rnacentral:rRNA from 1 species